GCCACUUUAGCUCAGUCGGUAGAGCAUCAGACUUUUAAUCUGA
rnacentral:tRNA from 1 species